UACGAAGGGGGCUAGCGUUGUUCGGAAUCACUGGGCGUAAAGCGCACGCAGGCGGAUCGUUAAGUCAGGGGUGAAAUCCCGAGGCUCAACCUCGGAACUGCCUUUGAUACUGGCGAUCUUUGAGUCCGGGAGAGGUGAGUGGAACUCCGAGUGUAGAGGUGAAAUUCGUAGAUAUUGGGAAGAACGCCGGUGGCGAAGGCGGCGACCUGGUCCGACACUGACGCUGAGGCGCGAAAGCGUGGGGAGCAAACAGG
rnacentral:rRNA from 1 species